AGGCUACCUCGCCCUCCAACUCCCACCCGCUUUUUGUCGGAGGGGAACACGGUAUCCUAGCAACCAGCCACGCCGGAGUUAGGCCGGUUGCGGGGUGGGGCUUACUUUUCAUUGGUCAGUCAACGCGGAGUGGCGGCGGGAGGGGGAAGCAGUGCUGGCUGCCUGCGUACGUCACAGUUUGAGUCGGUGAUUGGUAGGUUCACCGUGUGUGUGUUUCUCACUGCGAUUUGUAGCACAGAGCUGGUGCGCACGGUUUUUGUUUGUUUGUUUGUUUUUUAAGAUGCACCCCACUUUCCCCCACGUAAAUUAUCGUCCGAAGGAUGGACAAUCGCACCGGUGACUUCCGUGUGUAGGAAACAAAACAAAUCACGGACGGAUCACGCUUUGAUCUUCUGUUUCCCUCUUUUGACGUUAGGUGGCUCGCGUGAGUAAAAGACUCGUGCGCGAGCGGCGAGCCCUUAUUCACGUGACGGGAAUCGCCGAGUGGAGUAACGUCUGCAUUGGCUCACACUGCUGCAUCCUUGCCCUGCGGCUUCCGCCAGGCUUGUUUCUUCACCUACACAAAGGCAAAUAUACCGAGCAGUAGAAAAGGGACAUUUUGCAGAGAAUCGCUUACUUUAAAUUAUAAUUAAUAGGUGGUGUGAUGAAAUGACAUGGGAGGGGCUAAUGCUCUGUACUCUGAUGCAAAUGUGUUUAGAACCGUGCUGAGCUGUCAGUCAAAAGAAUCUGUUGGUGGGGGUUGGAGCGUAAAAAAAAUAAUCAGCAGAGGAGUUAGUUGGGGGUUUGAGUCAGCUUCGGAGAUGCUCUGUGACUCAAACAACCUAAAAGAAGGGCUGGGUUUCUAUGAAAGUGCCUAGUUUGGACUUUCAAUUAAAGCUAAAAGAGUACCUUGCAACAAAGUAAAGUGUAACCCUGUAACAACAAGUAGAAGACUCACAGCCUGGCAGAGAUAAACAGAACCUCAGAAACAUGUUAGAAAUAGAUUGUAUUCUUAUAUUGAAGCUCUGGUCUGCGUGAGUUCUUCUGUCACUUCCCUACACAGGCUACACAAAGCUACCGUUCAUCAACACAGUGAGAGACUGAAACAAGUCUAAAGUAUUAAGGAGGCUUUAUUGUUUACUUUUUCAGGUGGCAGCAUAUGGAAAAGGUCAAUAAAGCCUAAUAAAUUUCCACAAGGUUGAUUUUCCUCAAAACACAGAGUACUAUACCACCUCCAAACCCCACAAGGGUUACAGAAUAGGUAAAUUUAGGGUUUAAUCCCUUUUUUAAAAAAAGGUUUCCUUUAUUAAAAUGGCAGCAUACAAGUUAGCCUAGUGGGAAAUGGAACUUAGCAUACUUUUAGCUGCUCUGUUAAUCUUCUGUUCAAAGAAUGUCCUCCUCCCCUGCUUUAGAUGAAUAGUGUUGUUGUUUUUUAAUAUAUGGGAUUUGGCUGCCCCACUGAAAUAAGCACAGUGGGUGGCAUCCAGACAUUUGGCACAGCAGUAUGCAAUCAGCAGAAACUCCUUUCAGAAUCAGAAGGGACACUUGAGCAAGUGAUAAUCACAGAAAGCAUUUCUACAGUAUGUCACUGCACCAAAGGAUGCCAGCCAUUGAGUAUGGCUUCAUGAGGGCCAAAUAAGUUAGAACUGUUUUGUACAAUUCACUGAAUAAACAAAAUAGCAAAGUUCAGCAUUAGCCUAAAGUGAUGCAUACUGAGGUAAAAAAAAAAUCCUGUCUUUCACAUGCACAUUUAUAAAGGAAGUGAACUCGCUAUGACUCUCUAGAAAAGAGUUCAUAAUGUCAUACUGGCAAGUUCAACUAGGACAUCAAUUUUGUGGACAGAGACAUGGGUGGGAUGGAGGUAAAGCAGAAAAGGGAUAGUGCCUGUUGGUGUGCUUGAUUGCCUGGAAACAUCAGAGUCCUGGAUGUUUGUGGUUUCAAAGCCACAGUCUUGAAUGCUGCCCCACUGCCUGUGGCAGCAGAAUCUACUGAGGGAUCCUAGUCUCCCCCCUUCUCACAGGCAGAGAACACACAAGGAACGAUGAUUUGAAGAGGGGGAAACGGCGUUACAUUUUCCACCCCUCUUAAAUGUAUUUUUCUUCCUUUCUGUCAUCAAAACUGUUCCAUAAAGAAAGGAGGAAAUAAUAUUCUCUCACCAGAAACAGUCAAAUAACUUUCUCUCACUUAUGCGGAUGGCUGAAGCAGCGAACCCAAGCUGAAGCAGAAGAACCUUCUGAGGCGUCCGUACUGGUUGGCAGUCGGAAAGGAACUGAGGAGAGCAGCGCUCCACCCACCUUUCUGAUGGAUGCAUGCGCACCGUGGGAGGAGACGGAAGUGCUGCGCAAAGCUUUAGAAUCUUGACAAGUCGUGUAUCUCAGUGGUGUGAAUACACUGGGAUCACAUCAAGGAUCUGGUCUCCAAGAACCUGGCCUUCAGAGUCCUCCUGCUGCUCAAUAACGCCCCUGACCAUCCUGAGGCCCUGCAAUUCAUACACCCAAACCUGAAGUUCGCCUUCUUGCCACCCAAUGUCACCUUCUUGAUCCAACUGAUGGACCAAGGUCUAAUCGUGACCUUCAAAGCUUUAGCACUGAGCUCUAGGGCCUCCCCAACCUCAGCCCCUUGUGUUUUACAAUUACCUUGUUUUUAGAUUAAUGGUCUUCAUAUAUGCAAUCUUUCUGCUUUGCUUCUGCCUUGUUUUUACAUAAUAAAAUUCAAUUUUAUAAA